rnacentral:rRNA from 1 species
AUGGCGCGGCGAGGUGGGGCAGUGGCGGUUGUGCGGCGAGGCGGGGCAGGUGCUGCGGAGACGGCGCGCGGCGAGGCGGGGCAGUGGCGUCGCGGAGGAGGAUGGAGGACGCCGGAGCAGAGGACGACAGCCCCUCCAUCGCUGCUGUCCGCGCACGCCCGCGUGCUCGCCUCCGUCCGCGCCCGCGCCGGAGCGCUGUUGUCUGCGCGCGCCCGCGUGCUCACCUCCGUCCGCGCCCUUCAGCUCGCCUCUGCCCGCCGCGCCCUUCAGCUCGCCUCCGCCCGCGUCCUGCCGCGUCCCAACCGCGCCGGGAGACCGCCUCUGCCUGCCGCGCUUGCCUUUGCUCACGCCCUGCAGCUCGCCUCCGCCCUCGUCCUGCCGCGCACCACCAGCGAGCAGUGCACCGUCGCUUGGGGUAUGAUACAGAUCUUCUUACCUUGCUUCUCCUGUUUCCUGCCGUAUAAUGUUGCAAUUCACUUGCUACCAUUUGAUCUUGCAAUUGCCGUAGUUAUCAUUCUUAAUCCCGAGUUCGCCUUUAAGUACGCCGGAGGAACCAGCGCUGUGUUCGCCGGAAUUCUUGGUCCAGCGAAGCAUUGUGAGUCCAACGGUGGCUACAACAGAGGGCGCUCUCCCUGCAACGGAACUACUUGGGCGUCUCCGACGGCAGCAUGCUUGAUACUGAGGCUGAAGACUAGCACGGUUGAUGAGCUAAAGUGGCGGGUGGAGCUGGACCGCCAGUCCAUGGCGCUCGUGUGGAAGGAGCUGGAGGAGGAGCGGAUCACGUCGGCAGUGGCGGCCGCCCAGGCCAUGGCCAUGAUCACCAAUCUGCAGCAGGAGAAGGUGACGAUGUGGACGGAGGCGGCGCAGUAUCGAUUGGUCAUGGAGGAGCAGAGUGCGUAUGAUUGUGAUGAGGCUGACCGUCUGGCUGCUGAGAAGUGCUUUGUUUUGGGCAAGCCAAAAUACUUGAAAAAAAGAUAA